GCCUGGGUGGCUCAGUUGGUUGAGCAUCUGCCUUCAGCUCAGAUCGUGAUCCUCAGGCU
rnacentral:tRNA from 1 species